rnacentral:lncRNA from 1 species
AUUUUCUGAGGUGUUGAAUAUUUCACAUUUUCCAGAAAGUUUUUAAUAUCCCAGAUAUCUGUUUGACAGGUGAUACAAUAAAGUUUUUUUACCGGGAUGUUCAUUUAGAUACCAUAUAACUGACUUUUAAGAUGGGAUAUACUGAAGCUUUAUUUCUGUUUACUCUCUAGAGAAGGCAUUUUAUUCCAAUUAACUUUAUCUUCACAUUCCAUUUUAUGAAACCCAAUGGAUGGAAGCUGGCUUCAAGGCUAUUGGUAAUAAAAAUUCAGAGUUGCCAUGGAAACAGAUCAGCAGAAGGGCUUUGAAGAUUUUCCACAGUUACUAUUAAUUUAGUUUUGUGUACAUAAUAAUUGUUAAACAGUGUGCUGUUUGUUUGUUUUUUCCUUAUGUGCCUCAAAUCUAACAGAAAAAGGCUGUUCUUAUAAUUUUUCAGGAAAUUAUGUUGUGUGUAUUUUGUACUUUGUUGUUUCUCCCUGUGGGACUUGUCAUGGUGGAUACAAAUCUAUGGCUGAUACAAGCUUCUCUUAUAGAGAAGCUAAUAAAAAUAAGGGUUAAUUGCUGUUAACUGUGAGUCUUUUUCCCUGCUCUCAAAAAACAUCAAGUGUCCUCUUGCUCUGUAUUUAUUUGAUUCUGAUUUUUGAUGCUUUUCCUCUGAGCUGUUUUCUACUUCAUUUCAAAUGCUAUCCAACAUUUACCCAGUGAAAGACAUUCAGGGUUAGUUUCUGUGUUUGAACACCUACAGUGCUGUAGCGGAAAUUGGUAAUCACAGCCUGAACCUCUGAUUAAUCAGCUGAUGCAAGUUUCAGGUCAGCUGUGGGAGCACGGGUGAGGGUAAUUUAGCUGCGCUCCCGGAAGGGAUGGAGCCUGACUUCACCUCCUCUAGACCUCAUUUAAGGGCUGACCACCACUGAAGCAGGAUCUCUUUGAGAUUGCUCCUUGGUGGAGAUUGCUUCAGUGUUUUCCAGCAGACUGAAGGCCUCUAUUGGGUGAGUCUUUCCUUUAAAUAACCUUUUGGAUACUUAUCACCACCUCUCUUGUACCAUCUUUGCAUUAUUGUCACUGUAUAAGUGCCUUUCACAAGAUCAGUGCUUCAGAGAAGUUAUUUUUUUAUUGUUGGCAGAAAAUCUGUGCAGAUCUUCUUGGCACCUUUCAACUUUUGAAAGCUUGAAUUUUCCCAAACUGGCCAAAAAGAAGGGAGCAGAUGAAUACCUGAGCACCACAGCUGCAAUCCUCAAAUCCUCUUAGCAUUUUUCAGCAUGACUGAGUGGAAAGAAGCAGUGGCCGGAAAGCUAAAAAAGAAGGAACCUUAGUGCUCCCUACCUCUCGCCCUCAGCUUAACAGAGGAGUUUUUCCUGCGCUGUACUCCCUGCCCUGGCAGUCUGCCCUGGCUCUCAAGAAUUUUCUGUGCUCAGCAGCUGUUCCUGGAAGUGGGCUUCCUGCAGAUAGGCAUAAAGGCACAUAGUGGAUAGGCAGUAAGCCAGUUAGCCUGACCUCUGUGAAGUAUGUUGCUUCCUGCUUUGCUUCCUUCCUCCCUGUUCCACUGUUUACUGUUUUCGACCAGCCUGCAGGAAAAUGAAGUCUCAGCAGAGGAUUGCACACAUAGGAGGGAGGCAUAGGCACACAGAACUUCAGUCUGUAGAACAACUCCAUAAAGAAUAGAGGAAUGCGUGCAUGAGACAAGUUGUAGAGUGAUGCUAGAGUUCAUCUUAGCAAUUACAUGAGGAGUUACAUAGCUAAGAUAACAGCAGAUAUGAAAAAGGACAUUAUUGUAAUGAAUAUUUUACCCUCCGAGUAUCUACAAAAUCAUUGUUUCUCUCCAACAACUUUCUGAGACUGAAACCAACACACUCCUCAAAUUUGCCUUAAAAAGAGGAUGAAAAGAAGCCCUUUGCCCUUCCUGGAGUUGCCAGGC